UGUGUCCUCUCCAUGGAAGCCCCAAAAACUGGGGUGCCAGGUGGGUGCACAAGCUCCUUUCCUGAGGUUCCUGCAGCCAUCCAGAGGAAGAGUGUGAAUAGACACCUGCUAGCAUCCAACAUGUCUGGAGAGCACUGCAUUCAUCCCUUAAGUCCUGUGACGUGUGAAUGUAAAACCUACUGGCCACCAGAUCUAGGCUAACAAGAGAGGGAGACAAGAGAUCCAAAGCAGGCUCUGGACUGACAGCAGAGAGCCUUACGUGGAGCUCAAACUCAUGAACCAUGAAAUCACGACGUAAGCCAAAAUUGGACACAUA